CUCGACAGGUGUUCAUUGCUGAACUUUUCUAUGACAUUUUACUUCUUUGUACAUAAUCAAACUCCUUCACGUAAUUUACAGUUCCAUUUUUUCAGUAGGAGAUGAUUCUUCAAGUCUUAAGAGUACGGAACUGAUUUUCUGAUUAGGAGAAAUAUUUCAUUGGUUGAGGCCAUUCACUUAGGGCAUGUUUGGUUGACUGGAAAUGUCAAUCCCUUUCGGAUCUAUUCCGCGAGGAAUAACAUUUCCCACGUCUGUUUGCCUCCGGAACAGAAAUGACAAUUCCGGCUGGGGCCUCUCAUCUUCUAUAGAGGGAGAAUAGUCAUACCCUACUACCCCUCCUCCACGGCAAUUUCAGUUGGGAAUGGAUCACAACCACCAUUUUGUCCCUCAGCCACUCCACUGCCACCGCCACCGCUGCUCUGCCCCUCCAUCGCCACCGUCGCUGUUAGCUCCCUAGCUCAACCUUCGACUACGGCUUCCAUCAUUCCCAGCCGAUCUCAAAGUCACGAAGCCAGACCCGACCUCGACGAAGCGAGAUCGAGGUGGGAUGGUUCAGCCACAAACCCUAGGCUUGGGAGCACGGGGAGACCACGAGGCGAGAUCGCUAACCCCACGACGAGGCUCAUCAGGGGUCGGUGACCUUGCGAACUCUUCCAGUCGAAUCAACCAAUGAAGUCGGAUCUAGGGUGGCUCAAGAGGUCGAAUUGAUCCACGCAGGAGGUCUACCUUGACCCCGCGACCCUCACAACUGGGAUCGUGAACCCAGCCUGAGAGUUGCGAGCCCAGGUCUCGACUCGGGCUCGCAACCCUUCAGCUGGGUUCGCGAGCCUAGCCAUGGGAGUCGCGGGGUCUCAAGGUGGGGUUGUGCUUUUGGUGGGGGAAGGGAAGUUGUAUACUCUUCAAUCCUGUUCACGCCGAAGACGAUGAACAGUGCAUUUUUAAAAAAAAAGUUAUGUUUAAUAUAAUAAUUUAAUAUGUUAAAAGA